CAGUAGCCGCGGUAAUACGGAGGGGGCUAGCGUUGUUCGGAAUUACUGGGCGUAAAGCGCACGUAGGCGGCUUUGCAAGUCAGAGGUGAAAGCCCGGGGCUCAACUCCGGAAUAGCCUUUGAGACUGCAUCGCUUGAACACGGGAGAGGUGAGUGGAAUUCCGAGUGUAGAGGUGAAAUUCGUAGAUAUUCGGAAGAACACCAGUGGCGAAGGCGGCUCACUGGACCGUUGUUGACGCUGAGGUGCGAAAGCGUGGGGAGCAAACAGGAUUAGAUACCCCCGUAGUCCCUGUCUCUUAUAC
rnacentral:rRNA from 1 species